GGUUAAGCGACUAAGCGUACACGGUGGAUGCCCUGGCAGUCAGAGGCGAUGAAGGACGUGCUAAUCUGCGAUAAGCGUCGGUAAGGUGAUAUGAACCGUUAUAACCGGCGAUUUCCGAAUGGGGAAACCCAGUGUGUUUCGACACACUAUCAUUAACUGAAUCCAUAGGUUAAUGAGGCGAACCGGGGGAACUGAAACAUCUAAGUACCCCGAGGAAAAGAAAUCAACCGAGAUUCCCCCAGUAGCGGCGAGCGAACGGGGAGCAGCCCAGAGCCUGAAUCAGUGUGUGUGUUAGUGGAAGCGUCUGGAAAGGCGCGCGAUACAGGGUGACAGCCCCGUACACAAAAAUGCACAUAUUGUGAGCUCGAUGAGUAGGGCGGGACACGUGGUAUCCUGUCUGAAUAUGGGGGGACCAUCCUCCAAGGCUAAAUACUCCUGACUGACCGAUAGUGAACCAGUACCGUGAGGGAAAGGCGAAAAGAACCCCGGCGAGGGGAGUGAAAAAGAACCUGAAACCGUGUACGUACAAGCAGUGGGAGCACGCUUAGGCGUGUGACUGCGUACCUUUUGUAUAAUGGGUCAGCGACUUAUAUUCUGUAGCAAGGUUAACCGAAUAGGGGAGCCGAAGGGAAACCGAGUCUUAACUGGGCGUUAAGUUGCAGGGUAUAGACCCGAAACCCGGUGAUCUAGCCAUGGGCAGGUUGAAGGUUGGGUAACACUAACUGGAGGACCGAACCGACUAAUGUUGAAAAAUUAGCGGAUGACUUGUGGCUGGGGGUGAAAGGCCAAUCAAACCGGGAGAUAGCUGGUUCUCCCCGAAAGCUAUUUAGGUAGCGCCUCGUGAAUUCAUCUCCGGGGGUAGAGCACUGUUUCGGCAAGGGGGUCAUCCCGACUUACCAACCCGAUGCAAACUGCGAAUACCGGAGAAUGUUAUCACGGGAGACACACGGCGGGUGCUAACGUCCGUCGUGAAGAGGGAAACAACCCAGACCGCCAGCUAAGGUCCCAAAGUCAUGGUUAAGUGGGAAACGAUGUGGGAAGGCCCAGACAGCCAGGAUGUUGGCUUAGAAGCAGCCAUCAUUUAAAGAAAGCGUAAUAGCUCACUGGUCGAGUCGGCCUGCGCGGAAGAUGUAACGGGGCUAAACCAUGCACCGAAGCUGCGGCAGCGACGCUUAUGCGUUGUUGGGUAGGGGAGCGUUCUGUAAGCCUGUGAAGGUGUGCUGUGAGGCAUGCUGGAGGUAUCAGAAGUGCGAAUGCUGACAUAAGUAACGAUAAAGCGGGUGAAAAGCCCGCUCGCCGGAAGACCAAGGGUUCCUGUCCAACGUUAAUCGGGGCAGGGUGAGUCGACCCCUAAGGCGAGGCCGAAAGGCGUAGUCGAUGGGAAACAGGUUAAUAUUCCUGUACUUGGUGUUACUGCGAAGGGGGGACGGAGAAGGCUAUGUUGGCCGGGCGACGGUUGUCCCGGUUUAAGCGUGUAGGCUGGUUUUCCAGGCAAAUCCGGAAAAUCAAGGCUGAGGCGUGAUGACGAGGCACUACGGUGCUGAAGCAACAAAUGCCCUGCUUCCAGGAAAAGCCUCUAAGCAUCAGGUAACAUCAAAUCGUACCCCAAACCGACACAGGUGGUCAGGUAGAGAAUACCAAGGCGCUUGAGAGAACUCGGGUGAAGGAACUAGGCAAAAUGGUGCCGUAACUUCGGGAGAAGGCACGCUGAUAUGUAGGUGAAGCGACUUGCUCGUGGAGCUGAAAUCAGUCGAAGAUACCAGCUGGCUGCAACUGUUUAUUAAAAACACAGCACUGUGCAAACACGAAAGUGGACGUAUACGGUGUGACGCCUGCCCGGUGCCGGAAGGUUAAUUGAUGGGGUCAGCGCAAGCGAAGCUCUUGAUCGAAGCCCCGGUAAACGGCGGCCGUAACUAUAACGGUCCUAAGGUAGCGAAAUUCCUUGUCGGGUAAGUUCCGACCUGCACGAAUGGCGUAAUGAUGGCCAGGCUGUCUCCACCCGAGACUCAGUGAAAUUGAACUCGCUGUGAAGAUGCAGUGUACCCGCGGCAAGACGGAAAGACCCCGUGAACCUUUACUAUAGCUUGACACUGAACAUUGAGCCUUGAUGUGUAGGAUAGGUGGGAGGCUUAGAAGUGUGGACGCCAGUCUGCAUGGAGCCGACCUUGAAAUACCACCCUUUAAUGUUUGAUGUUCUAACGUUGACCCGUAAUCCGGGUUGCGGACAGUGUCUGGUGGGUAGUUUGACUGGGGCGGUCUCCUCCUAAAGAGUAACGGAGGAGCACGAAGGUUGGCUAAUCCUGGUCGGACAUCAGGAGGUUAGUGCAAUGGCAUAAGCCAGCUUGACUGCGAGCGUGACGGCGCGAGCAGGUGCGAAAGCAGGUCAUAGUGAUCCGGUGGUUCUGAAUGGAAGGGCCAUCGCUCAACGGAUAAAAGGUACUCCGGGGAUAACAGGCUGAUACCGCCCAAGAGUUCAUAUCGACGGCGGUGUUUGGCACCUCGAUGUCGGCUCAUCACAUCCUGGGGCUGAAGUAGGUCCCAAGGGUAUGGCUGUUCGCCAUUUAAAGUGGUACGCGAGCUGGGUUUAGAACGUCGUGAGACAGUUCGGUCCCUAUCUGCCGUGGGCGCUGGAGAACUGAGGGGGGCUGCUCCUAGUACGAGAGGACCGGAGUGGACGCAUCACUGGUGUUCGGGUUGUCAUGCCAAUGGCACUGCCCGGUAGCUAAAUGCGGAAGAGAUAAGUGCUGAAAGCAUCUAAGCACGAAACUUGCCCCGAGAUGAGUUCUCCCUGACUCCUUGAGAGUCCUGAAGGAACGUUGAAGACGACGACGUUGAUAGGCCGGGUGUGUAAGCGCAGCGAUGCGUUGAGCUAACCGGUACUAAUGAACCGUGAGGCUUAACCUU
rnacentral:rRNA from 2 species